CCAGGGCCGCCUCUUCUCCUUUUAUCCAACGCCACAGCAAGAGGGCUUCUUUCAUCUGGCAUCAGUCUCAGGGAAACGUUCCGAUUGGCCUACUCUGAGAAGCCUUUGAUUGGCCCAGCCCAGGAGCGCUCCCCUGUGUGUUUCAGAGAGCACCGUACUCACCAUGUGUUUCUGAUGUUUUGACAUCUGGUGCCUUCCUGACCCUGGGAGAGACUGUGCCUCCAGGGCUAGCCAGUUCCUAGAGAUAGUAAACAGCUGGCCUUCAUCUUCUGAUCUGCCGCCAUCGCUGGAGCUGAAUACAAAUAAAACUUCUGCUUUACAACAGAGUCUCUGUCGAGGAUGACCAAGAGCUCUUACCAAAAAUAGAUCCCAAAAUGUGAAAGUAAUAAAUGAAGUCACCGUUUCAAGAGGUGCAACUCAUCUCACUACACACUGGAGGAACAAACGUAUUGUUAAGCAGGAUUUUCUUCUUGUUUUGAAGCUAAGAAUAUAAUUAUCACUUGAUAAUUUAUGGGGUGCCAACUCUUUAAUGGCAUCUAGUAAGCACUAAAUUGCUUUAAGGGACAAAGACAUUGUGUCACCUGCAAUUCAUUAAAAGGUCACAGGACGUUGUCAAAAACAGCAUGUUUGAGUUCCCUGCAGUGAUUUGAUAACAUUGUCUUCUGUCUAUAGAGUCCAGAGUCUGAGGUUUUUCUGGAAUCUCCACUUCCUGGGAGCAUGAUGCCGAAGACCUACAGUGAAUUGGGAUGUUUGAAUGGAACCAAAGAGUGACUUCUGUUUCAGAGAGAUGCCCUUUAAAGCUCCAGAGGACCCAAUCCAACUGGCUUUCAAUAUGUGUUAAUCUGACCUCACUGCUCUGACAAUUUCAAUGAACAAUUUCCUGUUUUAUGGAUCUUGAUUUGUAUAAAAAUUAUUUUGUGCUAUGAUAUUUCAACCUUAUGAAUAUACCGGAGACUUCAGAAUAAAGGAAUAUUUUACCUGUUGGAAGAAACCAUACUUCUGGGGCACUUAAAGUAUGUCUAAUACCCAUGAAAUGAGGAGAAAAAAAUCUUGGGAAUACUAAAAAUGUCAAGUAUCAGUCCUAAAAAGUUCCCCUAAAUUUAGACUGGGAUAUAUUUUCAUAGGGCUUAGGUAGAGAUGUAAAGGUGUUGUCAGAGAAAAUUUGACAAAUGCAUAAGCAUGGCAGCGGUUACUCUUUUAGCUUCUUUCACCUUCUUUUUUGAGUCAGAUUUCCCUGAUGGCCUGUCUAUCCUCCAACGACCUCUCAGUUGUUCCCUCAAAAUGCACCACUGAACGUUGUCAGAUACACACAUACACAGAUAACAUAUGGGAAGAGUCACACAUUUCCUAAAAUGUUGACAGGUGUCUGCAAUACUCAUCAUUGGAGAUACUUACUGCUAAAGUUAAAGUACAAUAUUGAGAUUGAUAAAGAUCAAAAGAGAUGGGGGAAAAGAGACUUAGCUAGUUCAUGUAACAGCUGCAACCAUUCCCAAAUGUUUUUCUGCAUAAUCAUGCAAGAAAUUCAUCAUGCAUUUCCUAUUAAAUAUUCAUGCAACUUGCUUCAUAAGAGGGCUGUGGUAUUUAUUAAUUCCCUGGUGUUGGUACAUUUUGGUACAUCUACUGCCAGCAAUAAAUGUGUCAUGCCUAGCAAAUUCAGUUCUUGGCAGAAAAUAUUAGGAUAUAAUGCUUACUUACAGGAUAUUGCAAACUUUAAUUAUGUCUAGAUGAUUUUCAAGACCACCUUGAAAUAAGCAAUUCCCUAGCUUUUAGAUGAAAGCAAGGGUCAAUGGGGUGGGAAAUGGAUGGGGAGACAGCAUUUUACUUUAAGUGCCCCAUCUUGGUAAGAGGUGAUCCAUUUUUAUAUAAACUAGUAAUUACUGUAAAAAGAGUUGGGUCUAAUGAAUAUCAGCAAGUGAAGUCAUCUGUUGUUCUCCAUAAUUGAAAAUUCUUCAUCCUAAGAUUUUAUUAACUGAAAGGAUGCAAUAGAAAAGCUAAUUGUCCAAAGUUGUCCUCCAAAUUUGUCAGCAUAUAACAUUAUGAAUCUCUAUGCUUUAUCAAUAAAGAUUGAUAAAAAUCAAAA